rnacentral:rRNA from 1 species
GAUGAACGCUAGCGACAGGCUUAACACAUGCAAGUCGAGGGGCAGCACAGGUAGCAAUACCGGGUGGCGACCGGCGCACGGGUGAGUAACGCGUAUGCAACUUACCUAUCAGAGGGGGAUAACCCGGCGAAAGUCGGACUAAUACCGCAUGAAGCAGGGGUCCCGCAUGGGGAUAUUUGCUAAAGAUUCAUCGCUGAUAGAUAGGCAUGCGUUCCAUUAGGCAGUUGGCGGGGUAACGGCCCACCAAACCGACGAUGGAUAGGGGUUCUGAGAGGAAGGUCCCCCACAUGGGUACUGAGACACGGACCAAGCUCCUACGGGAGGCAGCAGUGAGGAAUAUUGGUCAAUGGCCGAGAGGCUGAACCAGCCAAGUCGCGUGAGGGAUGAAGGUUCUAUGGAUCGUAAACCUCUUUUAUAAGGGAAUAAAGUGCGGGACGUGUCCCGUUUUGUAUGUACCUUAUGAAUAAGGAUCGGCUAACUCCGUG